rnacentral:rRNA from 1 species
CCUACGGGAGGCAGCAGUGGGGAAUAUUGGACAAUGGGGGCAACCCUGAUCCAGCAAUGCCGCGUGUGUGAAGAAGGCCUGAGGGUUGUAAAGCACUUUCAAUUGUGAAGAAAGGUUAAUAGUUAAUACCUAUUGACUGUGACGUUAACUUUAGAAGAAGCACCGGCUAACUCCGUGCCAGCAGCCGCGGUAAUACGGAGGGUGCAAGCGUUAAUCGGAAUUACUGGGCGUAAAGCGUGCGUAGGUGGUUGUUUAAGUCAGAUGUGAAAGCCCCGGGCUUAACCUGGGAACUGCAUUUGAAACUGGAUAACUAGAGUAUAGUAGAGGAAAGUAGAAUUUCUGGUGUAGCGGUGAAAUGCGUAGAUAUCAGAAGGAAUACCGAUGGCGAAGGCAGCUUUCUGGACUAAUACUGACACUGAGGUACGAAAGCGUGGGUAGCAAACAGGAUUAGAUACCCUGGUAGUCCACGCCGUAAACGAUGAUAAUCUGGCCGUUGGGAGGGUUUACCUCUUAGUGGCGAAGCUAACGCGUUAAGUUAUCCGCCUGGGGAGUACGGUCGCCAAGAUUAAAACCUCCAAAGGAAUGAUCGG